CAGUCCCAGAUUAAUUCUGCAGCAGGACAAUGAGUCCAAACACACAAUCAGCAUGAUGAAGAUCUAUCCUCAGAGACAAGAAGAACAAGGAGUCCUGCAGUAGAUGGUCUGACCCCCACACACAGAGCCCUGAUCUCAACAUCAUGGAGUCAGUCUGGGAUUACAUGAAGAGACAGAAGACACUGAGACAGCCUGAAUCCACAGAGGAACUGAGGCAACUUCUCCAAGAUGCUGGAACAAAUUACCUGAGUACAGGUGACUUGGAGAGCCAACACAGAAGAAGAGGCCAGUAUCCUGGGAAGGUGGACAGGAGAUCAGAUGUGUGAUGGUACAAAACGUCCGUCACAAGCUCGUUCCAGAAAUGAAGAGACAAAGGAGGCUCUGGAGCCUCAGAGAGAAGGUUAAGGUUAAGGUCAAGGUUUGUAACUGCACCCACACAUGCACACACAAAUAUACAGCACAUACCCUUCAUGGGCAGCAUUGUGGCUCUGUGAUUAGCAUUGCAGCCCCACAGAAAGAAGAUGUUGACAUCUUCUUGAUGUCUCAAGUCUUUUUUCUGUGUGGAGUUAACAUGUUCUCCUCGUGCU